rnacentral:rRNA from 1 species
AUUGAACGCUGGCGGAAUGCUUUACACAUGCAAGUCGAACGAUGAACCUUAGCUUGCUAAGGGGAUUAGUGGCGAACGGGUGAGUAAUAUAUCGGAACGUGCCUUGUAAUGGGGGAUUACUAGUCGAAAGAUUAGCUAAUACCGCAUACGCCCUGAGGGGGAAAGUAGGGGAUCUUCGGACCUUACGUUAUAAGAGCGGCCGAUAUCUGAUUAGCUAGUUGGUGGGGUAAUGGCCUACCAAGGCGACGAUCAGUAGCUGGUCUGAGAGGACGACCAGCCACACUGGAACUGAGACACGGUCCAGACUCCUACGGGAGGCAGCAGUGGGGAAUUUUGGACAAUGGGCGCAAGCCUGAUCCAGCCAUUCCGCGUGAGUGAAGAAGGCCUUCGGGUUGUAAAGCUCUUUCGCAAGGGAAGAAAACUUACCAUCGAAUAAAUGGUGAGGCUGACGGUACCUUGAUAAGAAGCACCGGCUAACUACGUG